rnacentral:lncRNA from 1 species
AAGUCACAGAAGCAGCAUUUAUAUAUAUUAUCUGCCCUUGUAUAGUUAUCAGAUGCAGCUGUAUUUUCUGUUUUCUCUAGAUAAUCUCGGUAACCAUAUGUGUCUUGUCUAGUUGAAUGCCUGUUUAGUAGCUUCUUUUUGCACAAUGUAGAUUAAUCUGCAAACUAUUGGCUUAUCCUUCUUUACAUGCCUCAUGAAGUUGGGUCAGCUAAUCAAUAAUUGACACAAGCCUUUCAGUCUAUGCGGUUCCAUUAUAUUACCAAUGCAGAUUGGUUUGAAAGGCAUAAAAUUUCAGUUUUUGAUUUUUGUUUGAUUUUUUGUUUAGCUGAGGAAACCAAUAUGACUGAAAUGAUUUUUAGUCAUCUCCUAUGACACACAUACAGAGAACUAUAUGUACAAGAUUUGCAUGAGUCGACCAAAUUUUUUGAAACCAGCCUGGUCAUACCAUUCACUGAAUCAAAAUGCUCGGCCAGAGAUCUUGGGGAGCUGGAGCCAAUGUCUCAAUAGGUGUAUAGUUUUUAUCUGAUGUUAAUAUUGAUUGCUGGGAAUGUUUGGUCUUGGAAGCUUUGAAGGAAUAUUGGAGAAGUUAAGUAGAGAUUCUCAGUUGGCCUUGUGGUAUGGAACACUCUCAUCCUAAUUCCAUAGGGGAGUCUUUGUGUGCUGAUGUAAGUUGAUUGGGGGAUGCAUCAAGUUUGGAACAACUGUGUUUCAAACUGUUCUUGAAUACAAGACACCUCCAAUUCUUUGUAUUCAAAAGCAUUUUUUAAUGCCACUGUAGACAACAGAUGAUCAAUGAUGAGGUGAUCUGUAGCAUGUGAUUCUUAUAUUUCACAUGCUUCUGUCAUAUGAUAAUCCAUUUAUAUCUCUUUAGUCUCCAGUGCAAUUUUUGUUUUUCUUAAUCUGCAAGUUCUGCAGUAUAAAGGAAGGGUGACUGCUUGUCAGUUAAUCUAAUGUUCUGUGCUUUGGUAAUAGUGGGGGUGGGUCUUAGCUCUUGUUUUGGACUACCUCCUCAUAGCUGCAAUCUUUACCCAGUUGCUCCCUCUUGUCGGCCUUGUUUAGAGGCUUUAGUUUUCUUUCUCAAAGAUGGAUGAAUGUUCAUCUUGAGAGUAGCUUUUCGACUCUUUAAGAUGUAUUUCAGUGAAGAGGCUUUGAAGUACGUUCUUUCUGAGGAGAAAAACUAGAACAUGUCUCUUCAUGUCAACCAAACGACCAUCAAUUCAUCGGAUUCUAAGUUGCAAUAUUUGUGUGUAACCAAUAUUUGUGUGUAACCACUCCCACUACUUCCAAGUCUUAGUAUCUGAAAUAGAUGCAGGAGUGAUUUGUUGAUUGUGUCGGGAGUUUGGUGUGUUAUCAUUUGUUCAACUGUUCUUUUCUAUUAGAUUUUCUGGGGUCUUCUUAUACGACCACCAUGGAAAAUCGGUGCUGUGCUGUAGUGACAAUUGUUUCUUACAGGAUUUGGAUUUUGUGACACUGUACCCUUACUCAUUUGGAAGUGCUGUCAUAUAUUCUUGGGCAUGAAAUUGUAACCAUCUGAAAUGUUCAUUCUAGCAUGAGUUUAUGUAUCGACUCAGCCAUGGCAAUACAAGACCUUGUUAUCUCCCUUGUCCAGUAAUUGGUCGUAUAAAUGAUGGUCUGAUAGGACAAAGAGUACUCAUUUAAGAAGGUUCUUGUUUCUGCCUUGCAUGUUUUGGACUUUUGAGUGGAUAUUUAUUCCCGUCGCCCACUUGGGCAUAUUUUCUGGAUGGAAGCUUAGAGUAGCAACAGUGACGGAUAAGUAUCAAAUUUCGUCUUGCUGGACUUUAGGUGCUUGUAUAUCAACUUGGGAAUAUACUGGUAAUAUACCCUAGGCUGAUAUUUCAUGUUCCACAUUUGAAAGAUUCAUACAAUUAAGUGUUGUGUGUCUGGGAAUGCUGUUUUUUUCAUAAAUUUAAGUCUUUUUGGUUUAAAAUUAAUUUUUUUUUUAUCAUCCCAUAAAUUUGAGUUUUUGUUUUUGCUUAAAAUUAUUUUUAAAAAAAAUUAUUUUUUUUAAUUUUUUUUAUUGUUGAUAUGUAGAUGUUAAAAAAAAAAUUAUUUUAAUAUUGUUUUUUAAAUAAUCACAAUUAUACUCCUAAUCACUCCAUUAGUAACAGGGGGGAUGAAUCUGACCAAUGGGGUGAUGGAUCCAGAUUGUGUUAGUUAAUAUAAUAAAGCAAUUAAAAUGCCAGUGUUUUUUUUUUUUUUUUACUAUAAUAAUUCGUAGUACCUAUAAGUUUUUUUCUUUUUUUAUCCUCAAAUCUUUUUUCCAUUUGCAUCCUUUUAUUUUCAAUUUAAUGACCAAUUUCAUAUGGUUUGCUAUGGAAGGACAAGAUUCAACAAAAAUUAACUAGUGUAUAAAAUAAGGAGAAACUGCGUAGCCAUUCUCAAAUUCGUGUGAAAAAGUUAUUUUUGGUCCCCAUACUUUCAUUUUUCAUCCUUUAUAGUCUUUUUAGUUUUUGUAUUUUUAAUUUUGAUCUAAAAAUUUAUUUUAUUCAUUUUUAAGUCCUUGGCUUUAGAAAUGAGAGUGCUAUGUCUAGCCCUUUAUGUUUUUUUAAUUAUGUUUUUUAUUAGAUUUAUAUUUAAAUGCACUAUUAAAAAAAAUUAACAUUAAAUUUUAAUUGUUAUUCAAAGUUUUCAUUUCUCAAAUAAUAUUAUAGGUUUUUGUGAGCAUGUUAACAUUUUUUUUUUCCGCAAUUAUUAUGUGCCUAAUAUAAAAAGAAAAGUUCAUGAAUAUUCAAUUAACAUAAUUUUUUUAAAAAUAAUAGUUUUAUAUGAUUUUAUCCCAUUUAUGAAGCAAAAAUUUCUUCAAUCAUAUAUUAAGCACAAAGACUUUAUUUUAAUGUUUUUUUUUUAGAAUUUCUUUUAAGAUCAUGAUGGGUUUUUGUUUAGAAAACAAUGCUUGCAAUUUAAAAACAUGUUUUCAUUAAAAAAAAUCAAAAGAAACAUAAAUAAGAAAAUAGAGUUUAAAUUAAAAAAUAUUUUUUUUCUUCUUAUUUUAAAUAGCUAAAACUAGAUAGGUGACUCGAGCUACACCGUGGGCCAGCUUAGUUUUUUUUCAACGUAAAAAAAGGAUGUCAAAGUGACACAAGUGUUCCUAAAAAAAAUGAAAGAAAUUUGAGCUUAACUAAUUUAAAUAAUAUGAAUAAAAAAAAUACAAUAACAAUAAAUAAAUUGAUAAAAAAAAUAACAAUAAAAAAGGUAAAAACAACUUGACUCUAGCACAUCCAGGUUACCAUGUUAAAUCUAUGACUUGGUCAUGAUACCGGGUAACUUUGUCGAAAGCAAAUUGAAUAAAAUUAUGAAACUCAAUUACUAAACAACUCAAUGAUAAAAGACGAAAUCGGAAAAAAAAAAAGGAACAAAAAAAACAUGAGUCAAAUCGGGUUAACCCGCUAACCCUAUGACCAUGGGUAAACGAUUGAGAUAACCUUAUGGAAAGGAAAGUGGGAAAAAAAACACGAAGAUCAAUCCUCAAUCAAUAAAAUGUUGAAAGAUGAAAUUGAAAAAUAAAAUCAAUUUAAAAAAAAACCAAAUGUUGAAAGAUCUUAUUUGAUAACAGAACAAAAAUUAAAUGAGAAUGUAACAACCUCAUAUAAAACAAUAUGAAAAAAAAUAGAAGCUCAAUUUGUAGCAAAUAAAAUGUUGAAUGAUGAAAUUGAAAAAAAAAUCAAAAAAGAUUGAAAAAUCCAACCCAAGCCCACCUGAUAUAGCAUGUAAAAUCUAUGACCUGAUCACAAUAUCAGGGUAACCUUGUAAAAAUAAAAUUGAAUAAAACUAUGAAACUCAAUUAUCAAACAACUUAAUGUUGAAUGAUGAGAUUGAAAAAAAUCAAAAAAGGUUGAAAAAUCCAACCCGAGCCCACCCGAGUCAGCAUGUAAAAUCUAUGACCUACUAGUCCCAUGAUCAUAGACAUAAGAUUGAGAUAACCCUCUAAAAAAAAAGUGAAAAAAAAAAACAUGAAGACCAAUUCCUAAUAAAUUUAAUGUUGAAAGAUGAAAUUGAAAAAAUAAAUACAAAAUAACCUAAAAAUGAUCAAAGUCAAUCCGUGUUACCUUCAAAACUCGUGACCCUGGUUAUGAGGCCAGAACUAACCAGAAGGCAAACUCUAAAAAUAACUAAUGUGCCAUAAACCAUGUUACUCUAUAAAGCAAGUUAAAUAAUUUUUCUUAUAAGAGCAAAACAAUCAUUACUCUAUUUCAAUCUCCAAUUACUCGUGUAUUGGUAUCCAGUGAAAAACUGAGCAUUUAUAGAUUUUGGUAAAUUUUAUUUUAAUAAAUUAUAACUUAUUAUUUUUGUUAAAAGAAUAUUGGCAUCUAAUUAAAUAUGAAAAAUGAACGAGACUAGUUAUGUUAAUCUAUGUAUAAUUAUUGAUUUAUUUUACGAAACAUGCGUAUUAAAUUCUCAUUUUACGCAAAAAAUAUUUCUUGAUGUUAAAAAAUUAACAUCGCCUGCAUUAUUUGUUUUCUUCAUUAACAAAAACACUAAAACAUGUUGCGAAAAUACUGUUCAUUCAGACUCAUGUAACUGUGGAUUCAAGCAGUGUUUCUCACGAUAGUUAAGUCGUAUUUUCAAUUUCAAUUUCUCUUCUUUUCUAACUUUUCGCUGGUUGUAGCGUGAACUUACAAGCAAAGAUUUUUUCUCUUCUUUUCAAGUCUGGAAACACGUAUGGAUAAACACCAUAAUUUUUCACCUUUUUCCCUUCCCCUCAAGGCAGAACAAUUUUUGCAUUUCUUUUUUCUCUUUUCUUAUUAUUAUAAGUUGUUUUUUUUUCAUGGAUCUACUUCUUUUGUUUGCGGUUCGCAAAGUUUUUAAGAGAUGAGUUUUGAUUUUUGUCUGCUUUUUUUAUUUUUAUUUAUUCAUGUUGAUGGGUUUUUCGAUUCUUUGUGUAGGUUUUUUGCAUCUACACACUCUUUCAUGUUUUAUCUUUCCAUACUUUUCUUUUCUUUUUUUGUUUGGUUUUGGUUGUUUAUUUGUUUCUUACUUGGAGAUACUGAUUUGUUUCCCUUUUUACUUUGUUACAGGUUGCUCUGACCUUCGAAGCCAUUGAUUCACCUAGCCUUGAGUGGGGAUCCAGGUUACGAAACCAAGGUGGUUGUGAGGAUAUGUCAAGCUGAUGGUAUUGACAUGUUCCUAGCAUUGUUGGUGAUGGAUGGUUCUUGCAUGAUAGAUUAAUUGUAUGGGAAUUCAUUGGAACCCUUGUGAUGUUCAGGUAAUCAAUUUUUAAGUGGUUUUCAAAACUUUUGGAAAAGGUUUUUAUUUUAAAAUGUCCCCCCUUGCUAUAGACAGAUGAUUUUGAGGCUAAUUAUUAUUAGAUUUUAAUUUAUUAAGAGGCUGGUUUCUAGAGGUGUUUUUCAAUUUCUAGCUUUGGGAAAGUCAGUGAUUAGGUGGGUAAUUGGACGACUCCGUGAGUUUAAGUUAGUUAGUUUGAAUUGUUAUGAGUUGUUUACGAAAGUUAAUGCUAAUUUAAAAUAUAGAACUUUGGAAGAAAUUCUGAGCUUUUUAUUGGGACUUGAUAUGUUAGAAAUGCUUAGAAAUUGGAUAAAUCACUAGAUGUUGUUUAUGAAAUUUGCUGGUGCUCUAUGUAAAAAAAAAAUAGCCAGAUUUGUCUCCAUUCCAUAAUAGUGUUCAAUGAGUUUGCUUUGUCCAUCUUCAUGCCAGAUUUCAAUGUUUAAUUCAAAAAUCAUAUGAAGUUGGUCAUGGUCAUAUUCACUGUACAUAGAACAAUUUCUGAUUUGAUUGUGAUGAUUGGAGAUGUUCCAGCGUAUAUUUUUAGGAAAUAGUUUGAGAACUUAUAAAAUUAGAUUGGGUUCAAAGUUGUUAUAACAUAGACAACAUUUUAAGUUACAGUUGGUAGGGAAAGGAGAUUGAUUAUGAUCUGUAUUGCACCUAAGAAAAUGUCAGGAACUGCUGUUCCUACAAUGAAUAACAGAAACUGCAAUGUUCUGGGCUAGCAGAUUUCUUUCUUCUUAAAUUUUGCCCUUAGUGCUUCACCCUAUUGGAUCAGUUGGUCACCUCUAAUAACUUGCUGCACUGGGAUACCAAACUUGCUGAAAUGACAUAAAUUAUGCUUUAAAACUCUGCUUUGAUUUUUUCCAGUGGAGAUGAUUGCAAACAAAAUAUGUGAUUCAUGGUGCACUAGGUUGUCCAAUCCUUUUUUUUCUUUCUAAGAGUCAUAUUAAGAAAAUGUGCAAUUAAGUGCACAAUGCUUUAUGCAGCAUUUCACAGCUAAGAUUUGAUGCUUCUAUAUAUGCAAUCCAUUAUAUUUACCACAUGUUCAUCCUAUUUUUCUAUUUUUGCAAUGUAUAGGUGUUGAAACCUAGCUGGAAUCAUUAUCACCGCUACAUCAGCAAGUUUGUCCUUUCCUCGCACCGUCUUUCUUUCUCUUCUUCUUCUUUUUCUUCUUCUUUGCGUAGAUAAAGAGCAAACAUGAAACAUGCCUUCGGUACAAAUACUAACAGAUAUUUAUAAAGUCAUGUUAGUCCCAUGAUGAUGACAGACUUGGCUUGCGCAAAAUUAACCACAUGUUUUUAACUAAAUUUUCAUUUUGUUAGUUUUAGAUGAAUACUUUAGUUGUUUGCUACUUUGAAUAGUCAUAAUACAUUUUUUUUUCCUUGCUUGGUUAAUAGCUAUCAAUGCAUUCAAAAGGCUAAUUAUUGUGCUUUUUUUUUUCAAUUCCAUUUAUUCUAUACAUUUAUUUCUGAUAUGUUUGUGUUGGCAGCUUCAUCUACAAAUAUGAAUUAUGAUCAUCAACAAAGUUAUCAGCUCAUUCGAACCCAGCACCCCCAAUAUUCUAGCACUAUAAAUUAUUGUUAUUAUUCGUUUUUUCAACAGAUUUUCCCCUAUGACUCAUUCGAUCAAUUAAAAACUUCUCCCUUACGUUCACAUCUAUACAUCAUGAUAUAUUUCUCAUAUUCUCUUGGUUAAAGCUACCCAUAUAUGUGUGUGUGUGUUAUAUUAGAGGACCUUCUGACUUCUGACAUAAUUUCUCUAAUAGGAGGGUUGGCUAUUACUCAUGGAACUUCAAAAUAAAAUUUUCCAUUGUUAUUAAGUUUUUUCACCUUUUAUCGGUAUACAACAAUUGUAAAAUAAAAAUAAAGAAUAAACAAUGAAAAAACAGUUUAAUUAUUUUUAUCAUGACAUGAUACAAUCAAUGACCCAUGUUAUUCACGCAUGUCCUUCUCUCAUUGCAUUUUAUGCAAAUAUUAUUUUAUUUAUUAAAAAUAAAUAUUCUUGGAUACCCGCGGCAGAGCGCGGGUAUGAUGACUAGUUAUAAUUUAAUUCUUGAUUCGACCGAUGAAGAACAUGUGAGGUGACUAGUUCCAUCCGAGGAGAACAUCCANNNNNNNNNNNNNNNNNNNNNNNNNNNNNNNNNNNNNNNNNNNNNNNNNNNNNNNNNNNNNNNNNNNNNNNNNNNNNNNNNNNNNNNNNNNNNNNNNNNNUUUUUUAAAAAAAAUUUAAUGCAUACAAACAUAUAUAAGUUAUAACACCAGGUGAUAAUUUGCAUGAUCUUUUUUCCCCUUUUUUUUAUAUCAAAAUUAUUCAAAUGCAACCAACAAGUUAUCAAUUCUAUCUAGUAUUUUUUUUAAAAAAAAAAAAAACAUUAGAUUUUCUUAUAUCAAUGUUACAAAGAAUCUACAAGCAAAGUUACAAAAUCCGACUCAAAACAAGAUCCAGCUUAUGGGUCAGGAAGGUCAACCUGAAUUAAUUUUAAAUUUUAUUUUUAAAAACAAAUAGAUCAAAGAAGUCGUUUUAUAAAAAGUCAAUGAAAUGAUUGACCGAGUAUGGGUGGUCAACCCGGGUUUUUGAUCAAGACAUACAUUUUUUUUCCUUUCUCUAUUUUUUUUUAACUUGAAUCGAUCCAAGCCCCAAUUCGAUCAGGUCCUAUGUCAACCUGACAAGUCAGUCUAGGUUUUAUAGCAAUGUCUAAAAGGUGUAGAGAAAAUAUAUGUUUCUCCAUAUACGAAACAUUGUGGAUUGAAACAAUGUUUUUUCUUUUUUUGUUAUUUUUUUCGGUUGUUGAAUUUUUUUUAUUUUAUUUCAUACACACACACAUACUAGUCAAUUAAUCUGCGCUCCGUCGCAGGUCGGACUGAUUUUCUUGAAACCUAGCAAUCUAUCUCUUUACCUAACUUAAGUUUCCAACUAAAUUGUGCGGGAGCUAGCCCAAAUUAAAUUGAUUGAUUUCAUGGAUCUAAAUAUAAUCUUGAUAGUUGGCAAAAACAUGACUUGGCUUUUAAAAAAAAUCAAAAUGAUAUCUUUUUUCAAAAAGGUUAUUGAGACGAUAACAGAUUGACUCAAUCUCAGUCCCUAAGCGACUCGUAUCAUGAACUCCAUUGAGUUUAAUAAUAUAUUUUUUUCUAAAUUAUAUUUUAUAAUUAUAUUCACAAUUUAUUUUUCAACCAAUCCAGUAUUAAAAGAUAAAAUCAAGAAAAAACUAUUAAAAAUAAUUAAAAGACCAACAAAAAAAAGGCAUAUGCAACCAAUGGGUGAACUCAUUAAACUUAUGAAUCGGGUAACCCAAGCUAGCACGCCAAACCUGUGAACCAGGCUAUUGGUUAUUGACUCCAGUAAGAUUAUAAUUUGUUUUUUGAAAAAAUAUUUUUUAUUUAACUACAUGAUAACAAAAAGAGACAAUCGCAAAAUCAAAUUUCAACCAAAUACUAAGAUGCUGAAAACAAUAAUGAAAAAAAAAAAAGUUAAACUCAUUAGACCUUUUCUAUGAAACUGUUUUUUUUUAGAAUAUGAGAAACAAAUAGACGAAAAAAAGUCAAGUUCAAUAAUAAUAAUUAAAAAAAAGACACCCCAACAAACCAAUUUUGGGUUCGUAAUUUUUUUCUUAAAGAAACAAAUUAGAAAAAAUAAAAGAUAAAUGUAAAUCAAGAUAUUUAAUAUCAUAAUAAGGGUAAUUUACGUUGUUGAAUGUAAUGAAUUUUUUAAUUCAAAAUUGAAAUAGAAAUCGACAAACACAUAAGAUUUGUUGGAUAAAAUAAAAGGAAAAAACUAUUAUGUAAGGCUACACAUAUUAAAAAUAUCAUAAUAAAUAAAUAAUUUUUAUUUCUAAAAAUAAAUUUAAUAUAUAUAAAAUAUUAAAAAAAACUACAAGUGAAUAAUAUGAAACUCUUAAAAAAUUAAACAAAUUCAAUAUAUUUAAAAACUAAUCACUAUUUAAAAAAUGAUAAAUAAGCAAAAAAUAAUAGAGAAGUAAAAUACAAAUUUAAAAAUUAUUUAAAUUUUUUAAAAAAAAAAGAUAGAGCAAAGAAUGAGGCCAGACCUACCAUCUAGGCCAUGACUAAAGGACCUGCACGCGAGCCUGCAAUGUUAGGCCCACGUGGGGUUUUUUUUUGUAAAAUAACGGGGCCUUUUUUUGUAAGAUAAUAUCAUCUGCCCCAGAUCAAUUUGAAAAAAAAGAAGGAAGAUGAUGUGUUGUUUGGCAUACCCAAAUUUUAACCAAUAUAGUGACUAGAAAAUCAGGGUGUCUGAUUUUUGUCCUUUAAAAUCAAAUUUUCAACCCCAAACACAUAAAACCAUAGUUUUUAAACCCGGCCCGGUCCAAGGCUCCGGUUCCGGGUCACCGGGUUUUGAACGGGUCACCCGGGUCAAUCCCUAUUUUAUUAAAAAAAAUCAAAACGACGUCAUUUUAGUAAAAAAAAAAAAAGUCAACGAGUUGCAACCGGGUUUUUUACCAGGUUUUGCCGGGUCACACCAGGUCAUGACUUUUCCUAUUUUUUCUUCAACCCGGCCUGGUUCCAGCCCCGGGUCCCAGGCCGGGUUUCAAAACUAUGCCUAAAACACACCCUCAUAACCACUUUCAACUCAUUCUUAACCUCCAAAAGCACAAAAAAAUAAUCCAAAACCAAGAAUCAACUUUUAACCCAAUUUCUUUUCUAACUCAUAUAUGUCUUUUUAGGCAUUUUCAAAGUAACAAAACACCUAAUUCAAACUCCCCUUGUCAUAUGAAACCAUUUGGAAUAAAAAUCUAAUGUUUUGGUGGUUAGAAUAGUUGAAACAACGCCUUUCUCUCUAGACCAGAUUUUAAUGAUUGUCUCUCUCUCUCCUCUCACCCAAUAAAAACUAAAAAUGUUGAAAUUGAAGUUUAGUACAUAAAUGAAUAUUUAAAAAAUACAAAGGACUGGUCACCUUAUAGCAAAAAAAAAAAAAAAAUGGGGGGUAAAAAUAUACUUCACCAAUAAAUUUGAAUGUGCCACUUAUGUUAUCCAUGUAAUGUAGCACUUCAGUCACUUGUCUUACAAUUCAAUCCUCACCCCGUAAAAAAAUAUAAUUUGACUCUAAUUUGGGCUUAAUUAUACAAAAAAAAAGUUUGAGGACCAUAUUAAAAUUUUAAAAACAUUCCACUAUUGUAAUUCAUAGUAAAAUGUGUGAGGGUGAAUAAUAGUGUAGCUACAGUAAAAACAUCACACCAUAUAUAUAUAUAUUAUUGAAAAAUCCAAAUUAAAUGAAACUAAAAGAGCUCCUCUUUCAUUGUAGCAUCAUUAUUGUUCCGCAUCUCACAAAUCGUAAUGGAUUACUGCAAUGAUUUUUUACAAUUUCCAAUUUGUUCCUUAAAUUUUAAUUUUUUAUAAUUUAGCUUUUUUGAACCCAAAAUAGCACUCAAUUGCAUUAUUGUUUUUGGAGGGAGGGUUUAAUUGAAAAACAGAAGACUGAAGUGAAAAUAAAACAGGUAAAAUAGAUGACAACUUUGAAUUUGUUUGAAAUUUAUAUAAUUUUGGAUCAUUUUGAUAUUUUAUAUCAAAAAAAUAUUAUUUCAAUACAUUUAAUCUAAAAACACUUUAAAAAUAACUGUUAAUACAUAUACAUCACCAAAAUCUCUCUUUCAACUCCAUACAUCAUCAUCAUCCCCAAUCCUUCUACAUCUUUCAAAACAUGUCGAUAUUUAUGUCAAAUGAUAUCAUUUGAUAAGAAUAAUUAAUAUAAUGAGUUUUUUCACCUUUAAAGUUCAUGAAAAAACAUAUCUAAACUCGGGUUGAUUUUUGGAUUCGGGUUUAUAACAUGUUUUGAGGUGAUUUUUUGAUGCCAUAAAUAAGUUUGUCACGGUUUUUACGGUGUUUUAUAGAUGUUUUGAGUAAAACAAUUAGUUGAAAAACAAGUUUUUGGGUAAAAAAAACUUAAGUCCUGAUUUUUUAUCAACCACAAUGACAGUAAUCUAGAUAAAUCAAGUGACGUGUCAUCUAAUUUAUUUUUUCAAAAAAACUUUGGGUCGAACAAUAUAUUAUUUGCCCAAAAAAGAAAAUUAAGAGUCUCAUUAUGCAGGCCUACACAUGGAUCCCGGCAAAAAAUAAUUACCCAAAAAAUUAUAAUUAAAAAAUCCCUAUAAAUCAUAUUCUUGACUUUCAUCCAGUCUACGCAAUUUGUUUUUAACCCCUUGAAAGUGCAAGAAAAAAUGAAAUUUAUGCUUACAUUUCAUAGUCUAGUUUCUUCUCUAUUCUCUUGACAAACUUUAUAAACCUUUAUUUCUUCAUUAAAAAUAUUAUUCAGAGGGUUUUAAGAAUAUAUUUGUUUUCAAUAAUAUUUUAUUUGGGAAUUGAGAUUUUUUACAUGAGUGAUCUUAUUUUUUUAUUAGUCAUAGUUAUAUUAUUUGAAAAACAUAAUAAAUUCAUGUUACACUAAUUUGUUUUUUUAGAAUCUAUUUGAUUUUAUGGUUGUGAUUGUUUUUUAAAUUUAUUUUUUAAAUAUAUUAAAAUAACUGAAAAAAUAAUUUGAAGAAAAAAAAUCAAAAAAUUCUUUUAAAUUUUUUUGAGCUUUUGUAUUUUAAAUUAAGUUUUUUUAUAUAAUUUUGAAACAUAUGUUAUAUUAAAAAUAAAUUUAAAAAAUAUAUAUAUAUAUUUUAAUAUAUUUUUAAUUUAAAAAUAAUUUAUAAAAAAAAAAACUGCAAACACAGCUACAUUACCAAGAUCUAUCUACAUCAUCAUCAUCAUCAUCAUCACCCAUCUCUCUCCAUCACUCUCUCCAUCACUCACUGGUCUUCUUCAAUUCUCUCGAUCUCUAGAGACCUAAUCCCGAGCUGAUAAUACGAUUCUCCACAUGGCUACUGUACUUGAAUCCCUCACCGCUCCUUCUCGCUCUUCUGCUGUCUUGCCUAAACCUACUACUACGCUUGUCACUGCUUUUGCUUCAACUAUUAAUCGGAGAUCGCUUCGCUUCCCACAACUCAAAGGCCUUAAGAUUCACUUUCAUUCUUCAUCGACUGUAAAUCGCUCUCUCGGAUCGGUGAGUCAGAGUAGUUCUAGACUCGCUUGUGCUGGAAGGAUCGUUUGUGAAGCGCAGGACAUUGCUGUUAAAGGUCCAGAUCAUAAAUCCCAUCUUUCGUUCUUUUUUUUUAUUUGUGAUUUUUAAUAUUUUAAUAUUUUUAUUUUUUAAUAUAAAAUUGUAAAUUUAGAUAUUGAAGUCAUAAAUAAGGGUUUACUAUUAAAUAAUUGGAAUUAAUUAUUAUGUAGAAAUGGCUCACAUCUCUUUGUGUUGGAACCGCAGUGCCCGCUGUUACUGAUGCAACAUGGAAGUCACUUGUGCUGGAAUCGGAAUCCCCUGUUCUGGUUGAAUUCUGGGCUCCAUGGUGUGGUCCGUGCCGGAUGAUUCACCCUGUAAUUGAUGAACUGGCAAAUCAAUAUGCUGGAAAGCUCAAGUGCUACAAGCUUAACACUGACGACUGUUCUUCAAUUGCAACUGAGUAUGGGAUUCGAAGCAUUCCCACUGUUAUCAUCUUUAAAAAUGGUGAGAAGAAAGAGGCCAUUAUUGGUGCUGUUCCCAAAACUACCUUAACCACCAGUAUCGAGAAAUUCUUGUAAUGCAGGUGGUAAGUCACAGAAGCAGCAUUUCCUGCAAAUAAACUCCUCUUCUCUGUUUAGCUGCCAGUGCUCCAAUAUAUAUAUAACCACCAGUAUCGAGAAAUUCUUGUAAUGCAGGUGGUAAGUCACAGAAGCAGCAUUUCCUGCAAAUAAACUCCUCUUCUCUGUUUAUCUGCCCUUGUAUAGUUAUCAGAUGCAGCUGUAUUUUCUGUUUUCUCUAGAUAAUCUCGGUAACCAUAUGUGUCUUGUCUAGUUGAAUGCCUGUUUAGUAGCUUCUUUUUGCACAAUGUAGAUUAAUCUGCAAAUUAUUGGCUUAUCCUUCUUUACAUGCCUCAUGAAGUUGGUUCAGC